CCCUGAUAGGACUUCGGCUAGGAAAGGAGAGAGGACACCACCGCCUUUGUAUUUGUGCGGAGUAUUAUGAUAACUCCCGCAAUAUUCGAUGGAGAAGGAGAGGCUGCCAGGCAGAAGAAUUGAGGCACAUCGAGUGAAGGUGAAACCACUGAGUCACCUUGGCGACUACGCCCUGCCAACCAGAACUCCAAUCUGUUCAACUCCUCUGCAGCGGGCAGAGCAGGGCUAGCUCCCCGGACCUGAUGUGGAAGGACAGAAGAGCCAGAGCCACUCGGCUGGAACAGGACUGCACCCCGAGGCAGCAGGCUAGGGGCGUUGCUCUGCUCAGAGCCUCCAAGGCCGCUGCCCGCCUCGCAGUCCCCGAGCCAAGCUGGAAUUGGUUAGACCGCCAGCUCCGGUACAGAGACCACACAGGCGUCGCCGGAGGGCAAGGCUGACCACCGCGCUGCAACUUUAUUGAGCUACAACCUCCCCAGGCCCCAAAGCUCCAGCGCCAAGGAUCCCUGCAGUCUCAUCUCCUUCCGUCUCAGCAUACAGCGAUGCUCCGGGAUUUCCAAGUCCAGGGGUGUCUUCUCCGGACCCUUAGGCAGCCGCACAACAGCGCUAUACCCCUGGGGACUAAAGAUAUAAAGUGAGAAGUGAAAGACUA